GCCAGCGUGGCAUAAUGGUUUCAGUGUUGGACUACGACUCUGGAGACAAAGGUUCAAUUCCUAACUCAGCCA